AGAACGAACGCUGGCGGCAUGCCUAACACAUGCAAGUCGAACGCUCGUAGCAAUACGGGAGUGGCGGACGGGUGAGUAACGCGUGGGAACCUGCCCUGGAGUGGGGGAUAACCGAUGGAAACGUCGGCUAAUACCGCAUACGACCUGAGGGUGAAAGAUUUAUCGCUCUAGGAGGGGCCCGCGUCGGAUUAGCUAGUUGGUGAGGUAACGGCUCACCAAGGCGAUGAUCCGUAGCUGGUCUGAGAGGAUGAUCAGCCACACUGGGACUGAGACACGGCCCAGACUCCUACGGGAGGCAGCAGUGGGGAAUAUUGGACAAUGGGGGCAACCCUGAUCCAGCAAUGCCGCGUGAGUGAUGAAGGCCUUAGGGUUGUAAAGCUCGUUUCGGCGGGACGAUGAUGACGGUACCCGCAGAAGAAGCCCCGGCUAACUUCGUGCCAGCAGCCGC
rnacentral:rRNA from 1 species